ACGGGACACCUGCAUCUGCCAACAAGACUGGAAGCAGGGACAGAGACGGCGAAGUUUGACGGUCUGGAAAGCAGAGACCAGCAGGGCUGACUGCUUGGGAGCACCAAAUAUCCGGACAGCGCCUCUCGGGAGGUCCGAGAAGAGAACCGCGAUCUGUUUCAGCACCGGGGCUCAGGACAGUUCCCAGCGGGCUCCGUUUCGUCUCCAGAACCCUGGACAGCUCCUCCAGCUUGGAAUGCACUCCCUCCACCUCCACCCAGAGCUCCCCACAACUGACCCUGCCUUCUUCUGCAAGCUCCAUUUCAUCAAGGGAAACGAUCCUUAUUGCCUCACCAUUUCCCACGUGAAGUCUGUAUUGACAUUCUCAUAGACCUGGGAUAUUGUGUCUGCAGCACACAGUCCAAUUAUUUUCAUGUUAUCUACUGACAGGUCUAUUUGUCUCCCUGUUACACUGUGAGCUCCGUGAGGGCAGAAACAAUGUUAGUAUUUUCACUGCUGUGUCCCCAGCGCCUGGUCCGGGGCCCGGCACACAGCAGGCAUAUAAUAAGCAUGUGUUGAAUCAAUAAAGGCAUCAAAGAAUAAACCAAUACAUCAAUCAAUAAA
rnacentral:sRNA from 1 species